GUGGUAAUGUGGGGGUUCAUAGGAUUAUGAACCUUGCUAUACGUACGAUAAAUUCGUGCCGAACACUCCAUACAAUUAAAGAUAGCCAUAGAUGAUUCAGUUUGUGGGCCCUAGUAUUUAGAGAUGAUCUCAGUCUGAUCGUACUGUUGUCCGUCCGACAAAAAGACAUCGUACGUAGACUAGUUUCGUAGGAUUAUAUAGCUUGCUUCCAAGGUGUUGGAUCUUUUUCCAAAAUCCAUCGGAGGGACAGAGGUCUGACACGAGGCGUGGGAUCAUACUACUGAUAUAAAGCGUUUCCCUAAUAUAAAUAAGUAAGUGGCGACGUCAUCAGGAUACACAAUCCUAUGCCGGUGAAGGGUGGAAUUAUCCCUUCUCCGGCAUCAUUUAAUCCUGGGAUAUACUCUCCCACGCCCGCUCGAAUUUCUUCCAACGAACCUUCCUAAUCAGCCAUCCCUAAUACACAAAUCCAUUACCCAGGAGAUUUGAUCUCUUCAGGGUGUUCUUAUACGUCGAAUCUGGGGCGAAAUCAGAGGUAUUAUUGGGCGGUGUCGCUUCCGAUCCUGCCAAGGUGGUUUGUUUAUUUUAUCCCGCGGCAUUAGCUUGUUGGAUUGUCGUAAAGUUCGGAUUCUCAGCAGGGACACAAGUUAGAUAGGGACAAUCCCGAAUUUGGGGAUUGGGAAGUUCCCGAUUUCUUGAAGAAUUGGUUGGAGUUUUGAGGUGAAAUCAAUAAAGGUUAGGAGGUGCAUAUUCUUGAUAAUUUCUCCUGAUUGUUAAUUGAGUGAAAAGAUUGUUCUUUGAGAUGGAUGGUCGUGGUCGCCCGGAAUUCUCAUGCUAGAGGUUCCAGUGUUUCAUGGUCUGAUGAUCUGUGCCGCGCAAAAGCUCCCAGAUUGUGGGCAAAAUGUAUGCCGUCGGAAAGGUCUUGUACAGUGUCGCCGGUCCAUUCCACCCAUUUGGCGGUGCGGUCGACAUAGUUGUUGUGCAGCAGCAGGACGGCAGCUUCAAGAGCUCGCCGUGGUAUGUGCGAUUUGGCAAGUUCCAGGGGGUUCUCAAGACAAGGGAGAAGGUGGUAAACAUUGCUGUGAAUGGUGUCGAAGCCGGGUUUCACAUGUACUUGGAUAGCAAUGGUGAGGCUCACUUUCUCAGGGAUGCAGACUCAAUUACUGCAGAAGGGGAUUUUGUUGUGUCCACUUCAUCUUUGGGGGAUGAACGGGAGGUGCUGAUGCAGGAUGCACAGUUAAGGAAAUCCAAGAGCACUUCUUGUGAUAUCUCAACCAUGGAGGCCAGUGCUGGGGAUGGGAAGAUGCCUGCGAGGACAGUCUCAAGACAGAGCACCAUACUUGAGCGGAUGUUUGGACGGAAACCAAAUAAGGACAAUGCCCCUGCUGUGGAUAGUGUGUGCUCAUUAGAGCGUGCGGAGAUUGCAGCCGAACUCCUUGAUGCAAAGUGGUCGACAAAUCUCUCGCAUGGUUCGGAAGCUCCUAGUUCUGAUCAUGAACCUUCCAGUAGUCAUCUGAGAGAUGCUGGCAAUGGUAAUCAAGGGGAAACCGCAAAAAUGGUAUUGCCAGAUUGUAGCUUGGAUCAUGACAAAGCAAUGGGCUCUAAUUGUGACAAUGUGAACAGCACUGUUGGUAGCCCACAUGGAGGAAGCAGGAGUUCAGGAGAUGAAAAGGCACACUGUAUACAAACCACUAGUGUCGAGGAGGAGAUUGUUGCCAUUUAUGCACAUAAGACUGAUGGGAUCAUGUCAACUAUAGACUGGCCAGGACCAGAAUAUAUGUCAAAUGAUUUGGAUACAGGUAAAAGUAUCAAUGAGUCUGUUGAUACUCAAGGUGAGUUGCAGCGUAAUCUUGAAGAUGUUACAGUAAGGGAAAUGCAUACGGAGGUUUUUUCCAAUGGUAUUUUUGAAAUUCAUGCAAUUGAAACAGGCAUUACUGAUUGUAAAAGUGAAGUGGUUUCACAGUUGGUUGCUGUUGAUUCCGACAAGUUCAACCAAAAUUUUACUGAAGCAAAUUCACCAACUUUUAGCACAAUCACAUAUUUAUCAAGUGAAACGCAUGAUGGUUCAUCGAUUGCUUGUGGUCAUAAGGCAUGCCAAGAGAAAGUGGUCAUUAUAAGUACCUCGGAGACUCUGGAGAGCUCAUAUGAUGUGUCCAAUAUUUUGGCUGAUGAAGUUCAUUAUGCUGAAGGUAACUCAUUGGCUGAUGGUCUACAGUUUGAAGAGUGUUCCAGAGUCUCCAGUGGAAAAUUGGAACAGGAAGAUGUCAAGGAAAGGUCACUGUCAAAUCAUAGUUCUAGCAAUAAAGAAGACUUGUAUAACUUGGGUGUUCCAGAAGUUUCUGUUUUUGAUGACUCUAGUUCUCAAACCUUCCAAGCUAAUCUUCCUGAUAAGGAUAUUUCUGUCAGUACUCUUGUCAAUGAUCACAUGGAUAUUUCUGUGAACACUGUUGCAAAUGAUCAUAAUACCAGCUCAUCUCAUGAUUUAGCUUGUCAGCAUGGUCUAAUAUUUCCUGAUGCUUCUCCUGGUGGUAUAGAUAUAUUGAGUUAUGUGCAUGAAAAUGAUUCUGACGAUGUAGCAAAGGAUUCCACGGUGAAUACUAAAACAUGCUAUGGGGAACAUGAUGUUUCUUUCAAUCAGCCACCAAAAAUUCAAAGUGUGGCCGGAGAGUGCAUUGCCCAAACACAUGAUGUCCCUAAUAAAGUGGAAGGUGAAGUUUCAUCAAUUAUUUUUGAUUUUUCCAGUUUGAGCAAAGUCGACACAGAAAAUAUCAAGCUAGAAUAUGAUGAGAACCGAUCUGGUUCUGCAAGUGGAGUUGACAUUGAGCUUGUGCCUGACAGGCCCGGAGAGUGCAUUGCCCAAACACCUUAUUUCCUUAAUAAAGUGGAAGGUGAAGUUUCAUCAAUUGUUUUUGAUUUUUCCAGUUUGAGCAAAAUUGACACAGAAAAUAUCAAGCUAGAAUAUGAUGAGAACCGAUCUGGUUCUGCAAGUGGAGUUGACAUUGAGCUUGUGCCUGACGAGCCCGGAGAGUGCAUUGUCCAAACACCUGAUUUCCCUGAUAAAGUGGAAGGUGAAGUUUCAUCAAUUGUUUUUGAUUUUUCCAGUUUGAGCAAAGUCGACACAGAAAAUAUUAAGCUAGAAUAUGAUGAGAACCGAUCUGGUUCUGCAAGUGGAGUUGACAUUGAGCUUGUGCCUGACGAGCCAAGGGACGAAGCAGAAGCACUUAUGUCUUUAUCUGCUUGCCGUAAUAAAUUAGAAGAUGAAUCUUCACCAAUUAUUUCUGAUUUUUCCAAUUUGAGCACAGUCGAAGCAAAAAAUGCCAACUUGGAAGAUAAUGAGAACAGACCUAGUUCCACAAGGGGAGUUGAAUUAGUGCCUGUGCCUGAGGACCCAAGGGAUAAAGCAGAAACAAUUGUGCCGCCCUGUGAAGGAGUAAACGACAUUGAUCUCGAAAAUAAAUCAGAAAACAAUCCUGAUUUUUCAAGGCCCGAGAUUAUCCUUGUUCCUAUUCCUGGAAGUGGGUUGCAUCCAUCUGAUAAUAAUCUGGAGGCCAAAUCUGCACCAAAUAUCCGUUCUCACAUACACGAUCUUGAAAGAUCUGAUAAUUUUCGAGUAAGUCAGUCACUGUACAAUGGUAAGAAUAGCGAGGUUGAUCCAGUCAAGAGUAAAAACUCUGGCUUUCCAGAGCAGGAACUAGAAGGCACUAGUCAGUCAAAAGAAAAUAGUGCCCCAACGGAUAAAGCAGAAACAAUCGUGCCGUCCUGUGAGUUUGUAGAUGAAAUUCAGUUUCAAUUUAGUGGCACUACAAGUUUUGCUGAUAGAAAAACCCUGGAUGAUAUAAUAGCUAAUAAAACAGCAUGUGAAGGAGUGCAUGAUGAAGCUGAUGGUGAUGCAGAUGAAGAGGGAGGGAAUGACACUGAUCUCGGAAAUGAAUCAAAAAAACAUUCUGAUUUGUCAAGGCCUAAGAUUAUCCUUAUUCCUAAUCCUGGAAGUGAGUUGCAUCUAUGUGAUAGUAAUCUGGAGGCCAAAUCUGCACCAAAUCUCUGUUCUCACAUAAACGAUCUUGAAAGCUCUGAUGGUUUUCAAGUAAGUCGCUCACUGUACAAUGGUGAGAAUAGUGGGGUUGAUCAAGUCGAGAGUAAGAACUCUGGCUUUUCAGAGCAGGAACUAGAAGGCACUAGUGAGUCAAAAGAAAAUAGUGGCCUGUGUGAGCUCAUCAACAGUCCAGUGCCUGAUAACAAGCACUCUGAUGACCUGAAAGACGAUUCGUUCAACCCUUUUGUGGAAUUAUCCCUAUGCAGGCACUUGUUAUCUGAAGGCAUGGGAGCAGAUGCUGCGUGCAAAACCUUUGAUGCUGAGAAGAUAACCUUAGAGAAGUUCCGUGCCAUGGAGCAGUCAUUGAUAAGAAAUGGCAAGCUAGUUGUUAGGAUUUCUGGCCGUUACUUUCCCUGGGAUGUAGCUGCACCUGUCGUACGGGGGAUGGUUUCUUUUAGAGAGGAACAGCUCUUUGAACACCAAGGUAUGAUAAAGGUGGAGCGAGUUGAGCCAAGCACAACACAAGGUGGCAGCUGGAGAAUUUGGCCAUUUAGUUUCAAAAGAACGAGGACUAUUAACAGCAUCCAGCCAGUUUGUGAGAGCACAGUCGCGAGUACUUUGUCCAUUCCUGUUAGAGAGUCGGAUGGAGAAAGAAAUAAAGCCAGUGCAAAGAUGAUGGAGAGGAAGGUGCGAUCGCUCACUCCAACAUCUGAGGAGCUUGCGUCUCUUCAUCUCAGAGAGGGCAGGAACAUUGUGACAUUUACCUUCUCCACUGCUAUGCUUGGGACGCAGCAGGUAGAUGCUCACAUAUAUUUAUGGGAAUGGAAUGCACACAUUGUCAUAUCAGAUGUUGAUGGAACUAUCACCAAGUCUGAUGUUCUAGGUCAGUUCAUGCCAAUGGUUGGUGUUGAUUGGUCUCAAAAUGGAGUUGCUCAUUUAUUUUCUGCAAUAAAGGAAAAUGGAUAUCACCUGCUUUUUCUAAGUGCGCGCUCAAUUUCACAGGCCCACCUAACAAGGCAGUUUCUUUUCAACCUAAAGCAGGACGGAAAAGCACUUCCUGACGGCCCUGUCGUGAUAUCUCCUGAUGGCCUCUUUCCAUCUUUGUACAGAGAAGUUAUCAGAAGAGCUCCUCAUGAAUUCAAGAUCUCAUGCCUAGCGGAUAUCAAAGCACUAUUUCCUCCUGACUCGCAUCCUUUCUAUGCGGGAUUUGGGAAUAGAGAUACUGAUGAGCUUAGUUACCUCAAGGUUGGGAUUCCCAUGGGCAAGAUCUUCAUAAUUAAUCCCAAGGGUGAAGUUGCUGUGAAUCGCCGGGUGAAUACCAAAUCAUACAUGUCCCUGCAUGCUCUUGUGAAUCGGGUGUUCCCUCCUCUAUCGUCACCACCGGAGCAGGAGGACUACAACACCUGGAAUUACUGGAAGAUGCCAGUCGCUGAUAUUUGAGGUGCAGUCUGGGCACAAUGCUCUAUGGCGCACAGCAAUGUCCAUAAGAAGGCGAAGGCAGAGGGGUAGUGCAGCGAGGCCAAUGAAUGGUUGGCGAAUGCUCCUAAUGCAAGAUGAAGGUGUGUAUAAUACGGAGUAGGCAACAACAUAGUCUGUACGAGCGAUGCCAUCAUAUUGCAGCUUGGUUGAAAAUGGGAGGUCCCUUGAGUUGGUUUCUUCUUCCUUGCUGUACUAUCGUAGUAGUACUAAUUUUGUACUAGAACAACAAAACAAGAAUUCAAAUAUCAUCAAGCCUGUAGGAUUGGAUGCUGGUGAUGACGUUGCGUUUUGCACAUGUCAAUCUUGUUAUUUUAAUUUUGUCUGCCUCUGCCCGUGGACAAUUUAUUUGCAAAAUAAAUAUAGCGUCAAUAUUGAUCGUUCCCUCCUGUUCCUGUUCCAGUCA
rnacentral:rRNA from 1 species